CCUGAUCAGUUUCAGAAGUUGGGGGUACAUAUGAUAGCAGAACUCACCACAUAACCAGUGAUCAUGGGUAAUCCACAGUUCCAUCUUUCAUUUGAAUCAGAUCAGGACCCUGAAAUGGGCAACCGAAUGAGAGUGCUCUAAAGCAUUUAUGCGCAUUAAUCAAGCUUUAAACUCCCGAUUCCAAAUGUAUAAAUCAAUCAACAACUUUACA
rnacentral:lncRNA from 1 species